rnacentral:rRNA from 1 species
UACGUAGGGUGCGAGCGUUAAUCGGAAUUACUGGGCGUAAAGCGUGCGCAGGCGGCUUCGCAAGUCAGACGUGAAAUCCCCGGGCUUAACCUGGGAAUGGCGUUUGAAACUACGGAGCUGGAGUGUGGCAGAGGGAGGUAGAAUUCCACGUGUAGCGGUGAAAUGCGUCGAUAUGUGGAGGAAUACCGAUGGCGAAGGCAGCCUCCUGGGCCAACACUGACGCUCAUGCACGAAAGCGUGGGGAGCAAACAGG